ensembl:lncRNA
GUAGACAAAGGGGGACUCCACAACACAAAGCUAGAUGUGCCCUCUCAAACUUUUUUCCCCCCCUACAACCGACAGCAGCGCGCGCACAGGAAGCCGACUGCCCAGGUGGGAAUUUAAGCAAUUUAACCGGUACAGUGCUUGCUUCUGAUGGAUUAAGAAAAUAAAAAAAGAUGUGUAGAAAAAAAAACACAUGGAAGAUGUACAGAUUCACCUAUCAAGCUAUUUUUAAGAUGAAAUGAAGGAUUAAGAGACUGUUCACUUUUCUUCUGGAUGAACAUGAAGACUUAUCUUAUGAGGAUUUAGACUUCAGCAGCAGCAGCGCCAGUCGGAUUGUGUUUUAGGCACACUUGGAAAUCUAAACCUCAUGGAGAUACUUUGAGGAUUAUAAAAGAUGUGCAUGUAGAAUGCCACAAUACAAGACGCGUCCUGGGCCAAAGUCCUUGGGAUAGCAGGAUAUUGCUUUCCUGAUCCUUCUCAGCCCUCAGCAUGGGGAGUGUGGGAGUGGUGAGGUCUGGGAGAUCACGACCUUAAUUCUCUCCAAGACAGACGGUUUAAUUAACACUGGAAGAAUCCUCACUGACUCCAGACCUCUACAGUGAGAAUGUACAGGGGAAUUGGCUUGCCAAGGUCCUCUUGGCCAUAGACUGAAAUGCUGACAGACGAUGCCCAUGAAUGAUGAAUGAUGACUGGAGGUCUGUCUGGUGCCAGCAGAAUGCAUAAUACAGCAUCGAUACAGCAAUCGCAGUCCUCCUCAGCAGAAACAUGGUGCGGUUUCUGUAUCACAUUAUUGGAAGAUUUGCCCCAAGCAGGACAGCAGGACCACUCAAAGUGGAAAUCAACCGCAAUGUUGAAUGUUGUUUUGGGUUGGAGUCCUAAAUGAAGCAGCAUUACAAAGAGUUUUCUGGUGUGUCAGAGUGAGGCUCAGUGGGAAAGAUUGCUGUGUCUAGACAGGAGUGUGAGGCCAGGAUGUGCACAAGUCUGCCAGCCGUUAACCCCACAGAGGAAGUGUGCAGGAAAUGAGAUCAGCCUUAAACAGAGUGCAGCCUGAAGGCAAUUUUCAUCACUACCUCAUGCAACUGCAGUUUUGCCUGAAAACUUUUGGACCAACACAACCUGGGAAAGGUUAAGAUGAACAAAAGAGACUGCAACAGAAAGUGGAUAGAGAGUCAGUAACACCACAGCAGGAGGUGAAAGGAGGAGACCUGCAGGCAGGAAGAGAGAGGAGAGGGAAACUGUGCAAAAGUACAGCACAGAAUCGUGCCUCACAUCAGAUGGCAGCAAUGCAAAAAUGUGUGACACUGCAAAAUGAAGGCAAAGGAGAGAAAAAAAAAACAUCUGUGUGCGAUAGGGUUUAAAUCCAAUAACUGCAUGCAUGUAUGGAUCCGAGUCAUUGUUCAAAUAUUUGAGCCUUUGUGUGUGCGUGUGUGUGUGCAUGUGCACUUGCACAAUGAAUGGGGUGCCAGGCGGCAGCAGCUGGGAAUGCCUUCCUCUGUUCUCCUGUCAUCAAUAAAUGAUCAGAGUGGGCCAUCUGGAGAGAGGGAACCACCAACCACCAGGACCUGGCACUGAACGAAUGACACAGAGAAAGAAAAAGAAUGUGAGGAUAGAUCAGUGAACAGUAAGAGUAAGAGCAAGAUGGGACAGGAAGGGGGAAGUUACAUUUAAAGAACACUGGGGAGGCAAUUAAAAAGAUGAUGUGAAAAAGACCCUACAAUAUACUGGUGGAGCUCAAAAGAAAAUAGAAUAUUGUGAAAAGUUGUUUUUUCAUGAUUUAAUUCAAAAAGGCAUCAUCUCCGAUAUUCUUUUGUUUAUAUUUUUAUGAUUAUGGCUUAUAGCUCACGAAAAUCAGAAAUCAAGCAUCUUAUGUAAUUAGAAUAUUUCCAAACGGCAAUCAAAAAAAGGAUUUACUAUACUUCUGAGUAUGCUUUUUAUUCUACAGUACUUGAUUGGGUUUCUUUUACCAUGAAUUACUGGAUCAGUGCAGUGUGAUGCAGAGGCAUUCAGCUUGUGGUGUUGCUAAAAGCCAGGUUGCUUUGAUAACAGUCUUCAGCUCAUCUGUACUUUUGGGCUGAGUAUUUCACAUCUUACUCUUGUCAGUACCCUAUAAAUUGUCUGUAGGGUUCAGUCAGCUGAUCAAUUAAGCACAUUACAAUAAAAUUCACAUGACAAUAACUUGGUAAGCAAACCAUUUGGAAGUAGUUUUGGCACUGUUUGCAGGUGGUAGGUUUAAUCAAAAAGGAAACCGGCAUCGCCAUAAAGCUUUUCAACAGAUGGAAUCGUGACCUGAUCUCCUGGUAGACAGCUGUGUUGACUUUGGAUUUGAUGAAACAGAGUGAACCAACCACCACCAACACCAGCAGAUGACAUGGCACAAUAAAUCCUAACAGACUGCACAAACUUUACACUGGCAUUUCAACACUUACAUCUGUGUCUCUCUAGACUCUAGGAUCUUGAUUUUCAAAUGAAAUCAAAUUUACUUUCAUUUGAAACGAGGACUUUGGACCAUUAAGCCACAGUUUAGUUCUUUUUUUCCUUAGUCCAGCUAAGAUACUCCUGACACUGUCUGUGGUUCUGGAGUCUUUUGCCAUUACUUUUGCAACACUUGAAAGUGGCUGUGCAUGGUGGCUGUUGAUGUAUUGCAACCACCUGGGAUUCCUCUGGCCCGCCAGUAACCCCUUCACUUCCUGCCUGCUGAGAGAAAUAUCCAAGAAGAGCUCAGACUCCACUCCUCAAUUAUCAGCCAACUUUUACUACUGUAUACUUACCCCUGACCAUCACUAACCCCCCAUUUACUCUGCAGCAGAGCUUCCUGUUCAUUCCUGUAGAAAGAUACUCACUGGAGCACUUACCUUUUUCAGACUCCUGUUUUUUUUUUUUCAUUCCAAGUAGUUCUUAAAACUGUUGCUGUUCACAAGCAAAACGUGCUGUAAUGUGACUCGACAAAUUUGCACCUAGACAAAAAGAGUAAACUUCGACCACAUGUGCCAGAAGAAAAAUGCAGUUGUUUGUAGAGAUCGAAAGAACUCACACUUUUGCAUACUCAGAUACUACAUUUGACAUAAUACAUACAUAAUAUGACAUUUUCAGAGACAGAAAAUAUGCAAAGAAUAUGCAUAAAAUAAUUAGUUAAUUAAAAGUAAUUUUUUAAUGUAUUUAUUUUCACUUUUUUUUGUGACUGGAGUUAGGAGUGCCAUGGUCCUGAGUCUUUGACUUAGUAUUUUGAGUUUUAUACCCACCUGUUUCUUGGAAAGUUAUAAGAUAAUGUAAGUUCUUGUUCCUGAAUAUAUUAUGUUCUAGUGCCUCUGAGUUUGUUAUUUAAAUUUCUUGAAUUCUAGUUUCAUUAUUUUGUCUGUCUCUUAUAUGUGGUCUCUGAGUCUCUGUUUGUUUACCUCUGGUCUACCCAGUUGUGUCUCAGUGGCUGUCUGGUCUCUCUGUGUUCUGUCUCAUUUUUAGAAAAUCUUACUAAAUAAUAUUUAAAAAGCCAUGCUAUCCAAGCAUUAUGACAUUUGAAUUGAAGGAGAGUUAAUAAUUAAUCACUUAAUGGUGGAAGUAGUAUACAUUUAUCACUCUUUACAGUAGCUUAGUACAGCUCAGUACAGUACACUAUGCUGGAAGAACAUGAUAAAUAUUCAUAACAAUAGAUCCUGUUUGUAGGCUUGCAUUAGAAUCACAUGACUUUCUUUUUCUCACACUCACUGACAGUUUUCUAAAAUAUUCUAAUAUGCUGAAACUUGUAUCAGUUUUUGUUAUGUAUGUGCUACAUUUUAUUAUUAAGUAAGUUAUAAAGCUUCACAUAUACAUAUGUACACUUUUGUCUGCUAUACCCACUGGACCGCCAUACUAUUAUAAGCAGGCCCCUUUUAUUUUAACGUAAACCACAAAAGCAAAACCAUUCAUUAGCAGUCUUGCUAUCAUCCCCACAAACGUCUGUGGCCAUUUCAUUAUGUGAGCUAUAUUUUGAGCGUUUAUUUAAGAAAGCAGUUUAAUUCAUAUGUCAUAUUAAAUCAUAUUUUAUAUAUGUUACAUAUUAUAUACU